GGAAGAGCUAAAAUCACCUCCCGCUGACUAGAUGAAGAGGAGCUCAACCGUUGGGGUUUGUCAGAACAAGAAUUAUUUCCCUUCAACGACUCCACACAUCGUGGAAAAGAAGGGGACAAUCCUUUCAUCCUCGUAAACUUAGUGUUACCGUUUGAACAGUAAUUUGGAUUGUGGUGGUGCCCAGGUGCCUCUCUCUUUUCACAUUCUCCCCCUGAGCCAGCACUCUCAGACCACCUAACACUAGUUCUAUUAUCCAAGCUAGCUGGUUCCUGUGACUGGCUUAAUGUCUUAUCAUGCACUUGAGAUUCUUUAU
rnacentral:misc_RNA from 1 species